AGAGUUUGAUCCUGGCUCAGAAUGAACGCUGGCGGCGUGCUUAACACAUGCAAGUCGCACGAGAACGCUUCAGCUUGCUGAAGUAAGUAAAGUGGCGCACGGGUGAGUAACGCGUGGGUAAUCUACCCUUGAAUUGGGGAUAACCCGCCGAAAGGCGGGCUAAUACCGAAUGACAUCUUGAAAACUUAUGUUUUCAGGAUCAAAGGUGGCCUCUACAUGUAAGCUAUUGUUUGGGGAUGAGCCCGCGUACCAUUAGCUUGUUGGUAGGGUAAUGGCCUACCAAGGCUACGAUGGUUAGCUGGUCUGAGAGGAUGAUCAGCCACACUGGAACUGACACACGGUCCAGACUCCUACGGGAGGCAGCAGUGAGGAAUUUUGCGCAAUGGGGGAAACCCUGACGCAGCAACGCCGCGUGAGUGAUGAAGGCCUUCGGGUCGUAAAGCUCUGUCAAGUGGGAAGAACUCAUAUGGUGUUAAUACUGCCAUAUGUUGACGGUACCACUGAAGGAAGCACCGGCUAACUCCGUGCCAGCAGCCGCGGUAAUACGGGGGGUGCGAGCGUUAUUCGGAAUCAUUGGGCGUAAAGAGCGCGUAGGCGGUCCAAUAAGUCAGAUGUGAAAGCCCGGGGCUUAACCCCGGAAGUGCAUUUGAAACUAUUGGACUUGAGUAUGGGAGAAGGAAGUGG
rnacentral:rRNA from 1 species